AAAAUUAUUCAGCUUUUAUUAAUUAGCACCUUAGGAGAAACCAAGAAGAUAGAUGAGCAAGAUAGUAGAGAAA